UGUCUGCCUUGUGUUGUCCCGAUUUAUGGGACCAUUCAGCUGUUAUUAUGUGGCUGAUAUCGAGAAGAUUAGUGUUCGUGUCCUAAUCUUUGAGUUCAAAGUUAGCAAGGAUAGAAGAUCUGUGGACUUCAAGUUCUUAUAUUCUCGCAUCCUCGAAUGCGAUCGGUCUCAACAUUCUGAAGCUAUGACCAGCGAUGUAGAGUUGGUUGGUGCCUUUGUGAUGUAAUUUACUGGUGAGAAGAGGGAUUUUCUUUGGCUAAAAUGUGGGAGGGCCUUGCAAUCAUGAAGAACGAUCUUUAGUCUUAGAAAGUUAUGGUUAGAAUGAUCCUUAGUUAGUUAGUACUCUCCAAUAAUCAGCGAGGAAUGUGGCUUUACUUUUGAUGAAGGUUUUAUUGGUAUAUUAGAUAGUAUGGAAACAUGGUUUGUAUUGUUACUUUGUA